ACCAACAAAUUAGGUAACCAAAAUAUGGUUUGUGAGUGAAAUUAGAAUUUUCAUACCUAUUAAGCCUUAGAAAGUAAACAAUUUGACUUGAAUAGUAUAGUGAAUAGUAACCCCGAAAUACAAAAUUUAAAGAACGUCAAGUUUAAUACAUUAGAGCUAGGUAUAAGUGAAUUUAAAUUUAUUUUUGGAUUUAUUCUAAGUUAUGGUACUGAAACACUG
rnacentral:misc_RNA from 1 species